GUGAAUUUAUAUAUAUAUAUAUCGAUUGGAGGAAAAUUCGCAAAUUCACAAUCGUCAAUUAAUGACUUUACAAAUGACUAAUGACGACUCCCGUCGUGACUAACUCCGUCUGGUGAGACACGGGAGUCUAUCAAAUCAAUACAGUGCCAAAGUAUCUGCUAUUAUCGAUAAACAGUUAUAUUUACUGAAUAAUGUCAGCAGAUGCAAUGACACCUAUGCACUUAUGGUUUGAUGCACCUGUCUUAUGCAUUAAAGUACUUCAUAGGCUACCUGUGGCGUCAGCAGUACUGACUGCUCCUGGAAACGAUUUGAAUAAUUGAUUUUACAUUGCGCCACCAUCAAGCGACCUUAUUUCCAUCACUGUGUACAGUCCACCUACCAGACUAACUCAGAGUUUAUUUUUAUUUCUACAAUAUCGCUCUUCAACACUGUUCUAGAUUGAAGAAUGCGUUACUUUCAUCAGACCGUUCCAGGGAUAAUCGGUCUACCUAGUAUUUGGUGGAAGGACGCGAUCCUGGAACUGGCGUAUGAACGAGCUACACACGUACCCCGUCCCUGUGAGACACGCACGGCCAUCCCCCACGUGUCCCUAUGGCAUUUAGCGGGUAUUGAAUUUCAUACAAUAAAGCGCUUUGUGCGGUAUCCUCUUACACGGGGCAGGGCGUGCGCGUGCCAAAAUGAAAAAACCGCAAAACGCCAUGAGGCCAUUGUAUAUGCUUACGCCAUUGCUCCAUUAUUUGCUCGUUCGGCUCUGAGAUCCAUUCGCAAGGGUUUUCGUAACACGAGAUCGUAGAUGAAGGAUAAAACAUCAUGGAAGCGACCAAGGGAUGGAAACGGUACCCAUAAAGGAUGGACUCGAAGAAUCCUAACCUAGAAAACAGCCGCAAGGAUACUUCGCCACAGCGGAUACGUACUUGGGUGCCAAAGGAUGCGCGCACCUUUUCCAUCUGCUCGACCGGAUUCGUAUCUGAAUGCUGACCAGCUAACAAAUCGAAUUACGAUUCUUCACGUUGCGUUGGUAACGUUCUUCUGAAUUCUUGAAAAUGGGACCUUUCCGAAGGAAGACAAAUUCUCAUACAACCCAUUCAGCAGAGAUCCAUACUACGUACAGGAAGCUUUGACAUGCGACGAAACGCGUCCUUGACUCGCAUACGGAAUUUUCUAAUCGUUUACAUCAGGACGAUUCAAACGGUGCAGGAAUUCCCGCCAAGAUCGAGGUGCAUGCUGGAAUCUAUGAAAAUUCCACGUAUAAGGCGCACGUGGACGUGUCGGGAUGUCGUUGCGCAUUAGAAGUGGGUUAGGACUUCCAAGGUCAACGUGUAUUCUCUUUACCGAUUCCUUUUACUUUCUUUUUUCUCCUGCUCAAGACGAGUCUUCCCCCAUCUUCCUUCUCUCUUCUCGGAUGCACCCAUCGUUCAGCUCCUUAUCGCACACACGUAUAUAUGGACACCGUGUAGUCUCCGUGCGUGGAGACUCGCCUUGAUGCUUGUAGCCGGUUAGAGAGGACGGUCGCGUGCCGUGGAUCCCCCACUCUGUCUUACAGAAAAUCUUACGUUUUAUAUGGAGGCUCUAUGUCAUUAUCCUCUUGCAGAUUUUUAUACAGUCGACGCUUCGGGUAACUUGUCGUUCGACGUCUAUACUUACGUUUAUAUAUGUAUGAAAAAAAAAAGGGCAUCGUGACGCCACCUCUCGCCCAUGCCCUUCAUGGAGCUCUAUCACGCAUGCGCUCUCUCAACUGGAUGCAAUCAAUCUUUUUGAAUGACCUUGAUAUUUAGCUGCUACAUAGGCGAGAUGUUCCUUUUUCUGUGCAACGACACGCCCGAUCGUUCAGCGACGCCUUCUCGAAUUGCAUUUGCGAUCGAUCGCUGGCGGCUCUUUUGAACGUGGUUACUUUGAAUAUUUUUGUUUACGGAACUCUUGUCCUCGGGGUGCGUGCAGUGGACAGUUCCUGGUAUGUCGGUACCUACUAUCUGAUCGGUAACUACAGGGGGUACGGGAACGUCUUUAAAAGGGGUGGCAGGGUCAAAUCGCAACCCCUUAGAAAAUAAAUAAUAUAUAUCGUUGGUGUCAUCUUUCGACGUGUGCAUAUCCAGGAGCGAUUCUUCGAUGCGUUCGUGGGGCACAUCUGCCUGUUUCACCCUUUGGAUACUAACCGGGGGGUUGAAUUUAUUUUGCCAGGUUUCUUUUUUUAUAAUUUUGUACAAUUAGUUUUUUUAUCUGGUUCUUUAAUGUGGAAUAGGAUUGUUGCACGUUGCUAAGUAAGGAUAGUUCUUUUAUUUGCACUGGUUGGUGCACCUUGUAUUCUGUCAAUGCUGCAUCCAAGAACCUGUUAACCUGCUUGGUACCGCUCCUUGAAGUUUGAAAAAAAUACAUAAAAAAAUGUCCAAAGCACAUGGUUGUUUGAUCAGAAUAAUAUUUAUUGAUAAUCGGAAAAACUGUUAUUACUGUGAAG